AAUAAUUUUUUGAUUUAACGAAAAAUAAAAAAAAGAAAACACCAUCCUCAACCUCUACACCUCUGAGUGUGAAAAACGAUAACACCACCCAAAAAACCUGAGUGAAUUGACUGUGAAGCCCAUUGUUUUGAAACAAUAAGGCCUUUCCCCCCUUGAUUUGAUUCCCAAUACUGCUGCAAUAACUCAAAAGAUAAAACCCCAUCCACUUAAAUUCAUCAGAGAGCAACAAUCAAUGAAAAUCAAGCAACCCAAAAGAAAAUAGCAGAAUAGCAGCAGAAAACGAUUACUUCGCCGUCAAGGAAAUGUUUCAAUUGCUUGCUGCAUUGAUGUGGACCAUAAGUGAUUUUUCGGAUCUUGACAACUUGUCUGGGUGGAAUACACAUGCAUUACUUGCUUGUCCUUCAUGUAAUUAUGAUACAAAUUCUAUGAGGCUAAAGUUUGGUAGAAAAAAUUACUUUUUGGGACAUCGUCGAUUUUUGCCACAUGAUCACAAAUAUAGGUACAACAAGAAGUCUUUUAAUGAUUUUGAGGAGCAUUGACCUGUGCCUAUUCCAUCAUCUGGUUCAAUCUUAUUAAGACAAAUUGAGGAGAGUCGGAAGAGGCCUCGUGAUGAUGGUACAAGUAAGGUUGGCCCAAAACAAUGGAAGAAAAAGAGUAUCUUCUGGUAUUUACCUUAUUGGAAGAACCAUCUUAUUCGUCAUUGCCUUGACUUGAUGCAUGUAAAGAAGAAUGUUUGUGACAAUGUAUUAUUUACUAUACUUGGAGAAAAAAAAUCAAAAGACAAUUUGCAAGCUUGUAAAGACUUGUAAGUGAUGGGAAUUAGAGAAAAGCUUCAUCCAUAUCCUAAUUCUUCUGAAUUUCCUCCAUCAUACUUUACCAUGAAGAAAGAUAAAAAAUAUAUCUUUCUAAAAGUUUUAAACAAUGUGGUGUUUUCGGAUAAUUAUGCAUCAAACAUUUCUAGAUGUGUUGAUCUUAAAAAAUGCAAGAUCUCUAAUUUAAAGAGUCACGAUUCCCACAUUUUGAUGGAGCAUAUUUUGUCAAUUGUUUGUAGAAGAUCUCUUCCUAAAAAAGUGAGUUAUGUAAUUACUUUAGAGAAAUAUCAAGCAAGGUUUUGGAUGUUAAGCAUGUAGAGGAUUUCCAGCAACGAAUUUGGUUGAAUCAUGCUAAUAUGGAAGCAAUAUUCCCUCCAUGCUUUUUCACUAUUAUGUUUCACCGGGUCAUUCAUAUUGAAGAGGAAGCGAUUCUUGCUGGUCCUAUACAAGGUCAUUGGAUUUACCUUGUUGAAAGGGGAAUGGGCCAUUUAAAUCUUAUGUUCGUAACAAUUUUGCUGCAGAAGAUUGUAUAGCUGAAGGCUGCCUUACAGAGGAAAACCUUACUAAUUGUUCUAGAUAUUUUGAGGAUGGUGCUAUUGAAGCAAGGUUUAACCGACCAAGACAUAAUGAUGAUGACAGUGAAAUUAAUGCUCAUAGUGAAUCUGCUAUCUUGUCAAAUUUGUUUCUUGCAUCAGGCAAGAUUGGGGCUAUUAAGACCUAUCCAUAUUUUCCUUGAGAUCAUACA